AAGAAUUUCAAGAAAGAAAAAGAAAUUCAAGAAAGAAAAAAGAAGAACAAUAGAAAGAAAUCUCGAUUCCAAGAAAAGAAGAUGUGAGUAAAGAAGCUGACACAGAGAGAUUUCAUAAAUGGGAGAGAAUAGACUUGUAUUUCUGUGGAUCAAAUAAGCAAUUACAAUAUUCAGUACCAAAAUAUCCCAACUAAACAGCGAUACAAUGACCAAAGAAGGAAAACACUAGGGGAAAUACUCUUUACCCUUAUUCUAAUACUCUAUUUAUAAU
rnacentral:misc_RNA from 1 species